AACUAGAAGUAGUCUUCAUCUCUGUUAGUCGAUGAUUUGAUUCCUUCACCUCCACUCACUCACAGGGAACCUUUUUAUUAUCUUUGCCUUUUUUUUUACCAUCUAAGUACCCUUUUAUUAUAAAUAUUACUACUAAUUUUAUUCUGUAAUCGUAAUCAUUACUAUUAUUAUUAAAGAAAUUGAAUUGAAUCAACAAGUAAUAUAUAUAGUUUUAAUUUGGCUUGUAUUGUUAUUUCAAUGUUUUUAAUUUUAU
rnacentral:misc_RNA from 1 species